AAUAACAUGGCUAUAUACAGGAAGUACCAGGUAAUAACAUGGUUAUAUACAGGGAGUACCAGGUAAUAACAUGGCUAUAUACAGGGAGUACCAGGUAAUAACAUGGCUAUAUACAGGGAGUACCAGGUAAUAACAUGGUUAUAUACAGGGAGUACCAGGUAAUAACAUGGCUAUAUACAGGAAGUACCAGGUAAUAACUUGGCUAUAUACAGGGAGUACCAGGUAAUAACAUGGCUAUAUACAGGAAGUACCAGGUAAUAACAUGGCUAUAUACAGGGAGUACCAGGUAAUAACAUGGCUAUAUACAGGGAGUACCAGGUAAUAACAUGGCUAUAUACAGGGAGUACCAGGUAAUAACAUGGCUAUAUACAGGAAGUACCAGGUAAUAACAUGGCUAUAUACAGGGAGUACCAGGUAAUAACAUGGCUAUAUACAGGGAGUACCAGGUAAUAACAUGGUUAUAUACAGGGAGUACCAGGUAAUAACAUGGCUAUAUACAGGGAGUACCAGGUA